UACAGAGGUCCCGAGCGUUGUUCGGAUUCAUUGGGCGUAAAGGGUGCGUAGGCGGCGGGGCAAGUCUGAUGUGAAAUCCCGGGGCUCAACCCCCGGAACUGCAUUGGAUACUGCCUUGCUUGAGUACUGGAGAGGGAACUGGAAUUUACGGUGUAGCAGUGAAAUGCGUAGAGAUCGUAAGGAAGGCCAGUGGCGAAGGCGAGUUCCUGGACAGUGACUGACGCUGAGGCACGAAGGCCAGGGGAGCAAACGGG
rnacentral:rRNA from 1 species